CUGACACACACACAUACACACACAUACAUAAACACACACACACACACUCCCCGUACGAGAUGCAUGUUACACACACUUCAACACAAACACUCACACAUUCACAAACUACAACUGCCACAUGGAGUGUUCGGGUGGUAAUAAAUGAAAGGGGGUAGUCCCGCUCCGGGGGGCAGUAGAUAGAGGGGGAAGGACAAUAUAGAUAUACAGUAAUUAUACUAGAGAUCUCUGCUCCUUGUCUCUAGUACAGGUCAGUCUGUAUAGAUAUACAGUAAUUAUACUAGAGAUCUCUGCUCCUUGUCUCUAGUACAGGUCAGUCUGUAUAGAUAUACAGUAAUUAUACUAGAGAUCUCUGCUCCUUGUCUCUAGUACAGGUCAGUCUGUAUAGAUAUACAGUAAUUAUACUAGAGAUCUCUGCUCCUUGUCUCUAGUACAGGUUAGUCUGUAUGGAUAUACAGUAAUUAUACUAGAGAUCUCUGCUCCUUGUUUCUAGUACAG
ensembl:lncRNA